rnacentral:rRNA from 1 species
UGAUACUAAUACCGGAUGUGGUCAAUGGAUACUUUUCAUUGACUAAAAGUGGCGUAAGCUGCUGCUAGAAGAUGAGCCUGCGUCCUAUUAGCUUGUUGGUGAGGUAAUGGCUCACCAAGGCGACGAUGGGUAGCCGGCCUGAGAGGGUGACCGGCCACAUUGGGACUGAGAUACGGCCCAGACUCCUACGGGAGGCAGCAGCUAAGAAUAUUCCGCAAUGGGCGAAAGCCUGACGGAGCGACGCCGCGUGGACGAUGAAGGCCUUCGGGUUGUAAAGUCCUUUCAAGAGGGAAGAUUUUCGGUAACCUUAAUAGGGUGAUCGUCUGACUGUACCUCUAGAAGAAGCCCCGGCUAAUUACGUGCCAGCAGCCGCGGUAAUACGUAUGGGGCGAGCGUUAUUCGGAUUCAUUGGGCGUAAAGCGUAUGUAGGCUGUUUGUUAAGUUGGAUGUGAAAUUUACAGGCUCAACCUGAAAACUACAUCCAAAACUGGCAGACUAGAGUUCGGAAGAGGAGAAUGGAAUUCCAGGUGUAGGGGUGAAAUCUGUAGAUAUCUGGAAGAACACCAGUGGCGAAGGCGAUUCUCUGGUCCGAAACUGACGCUGAGAUACGAAAGCCAGGGGAGCGAACGGGAUUAGAUACCCCGGUAGUCCUGGCCGUAAACGUUGAUCACUAGGUGAUGGAAGCAUUGACCCUUUCAUUGCCGAAGCUAACGCAUUAAGUGAUCCGCCUGGGGAGUACGCUCGCAAGGGUGAAACUCAAAGGAAUUGACGGGGGCCCGCACAAGCGGUGGAGCAUGUGGCUUAAUUCGACGAUACGCGAGGAACCUUACCAGGGUUUGACAUGCAAGAAGUAGAAACCUGAAAGGGGGACGACCGGUAUCCAGUCCGGAACUUGCACAGGUGCUGCAUGGUUGUCGUCAGCUCGUGUCGUGAGAUGUUGGGUUAAGUCCCAUAACGAGCGCAACCCCUAUCUUCAGUUGCCAGCAAGGCGUAAGCUGUUGGGAACUCUGAAGAGACUGCCGGUGACAAGCCGGAGGAAGGCGGGGAUGACGUCAAAUCCUCAUGGCCUUUAUAUCCUGGGCUGCACACGUGCUACAAUGGUCGGUACAGAGGGUUGCAAAACUGCAAAGUAGAGCUAAUCCCAAAAAACCGACCCCAGUUCGGAUCGUAGUCUGCAAUUCGACUGCGUGAAGUCGGAAUCGCUAGUAAUCGCGCAUCAGAACGGCGCGGUGAAUACGUUCCCGGGCCUUGUACACACCGCCCGUCAUAUCAUCCGAGUCGGAUGCACUUGAAUCCAAUGCGCUAACCUUCGGGAGGCAGUUGGUGAAAGUGUGUUUGGUAAGGAGGAUAAAGUCGUAACAAGGUA